AACGAACGCUGGCGGCAUGCCUAACACAUGCAAGUCGAGCGAGACCUUCGGGUCUAGUGGCGCACGGGUGCGUAACGCGUGGGAACCUUCCCUUAGGUUCGGAAUAACUCCCCGAAAGGGGUGCUAAUACCGGAUAAUGUCUUCGGACCAAAGAUUUAUCGCCUUUGGAUGGGCCCGCGUUGGAUUAGCUAGUUGGUAGGGUAAAAGCCUACCAAGGCGACGAUCCAUAGCUGGUCUGAGAGGAUGAUCAGCCACACUGGGACUGAGACACGGCCCAGAAUCCUACGGGAGGCAGCAGUGGGGAAUAUUGGACAAUGGGCGAAAGCCUGAUCCAGCAAUGCCGCGUGAGUGAUGAAGGCCUUAGGGUUGUAAAGCUCUUUUAACCGGGAUGAUAAUGACAGUACCGGGAGAAUAAGCGCCGGCUAACUCCGUG
rnacentral:rRNA from 1 species